UACGUAGGGUGCGAGCGUUGUCCGGAAUUAUUGGGCGUAAAGAGCUCGUAGGCGGCCUGUUGCGUCCGCUGUGAAAGCCCGGGGCUUAACCCCGGGUCGGCAGUGGAUACGGGCAGGCUAGAGGUUGGUAGGGGAGAAUGGAAUUCCCGGUGUAGCGGUGAAAUGCGCAGAUAUCGGGAGGAACACCGGUGGCGACGGCGGUUCUCUGGGCCUUACCUGACGCUGAGGAGCGAAAGCGUGGGGAGCGAACAGG
rnacentral:rRNA from 1 species